rnacentral:rRNA from 1 species
AUUGAACGCUGGCGGCAAGCCUAACACAUGCAAGUCGAACGAGUGGCGGACGGGUGAGUAAUGUAUGGGGAACUGCCUGAUGGAGGGGGAUAACUACUGGAAACGGUGGCUAAUACCGCAUACUAUCGGAUGAACCCAGAUGGGAUUAGCUAGUAGGUGGGGUAAAGGCUCACCUAGGCGACGAUCCCUAGCUGGUCUGAGAGGAUGAUCAGCCACACUGGAACUGAGACACGGCCCAGACUCCUACGGGAGGCAGCAGUGGGGAAUAUUGCACAAUGGGCGCAAGCCUGAUGCAGCCAUGCCGCGUGUAUGAAGAAGGCCUUAGGGUUGUAAAGUACUUUCAGCGGGGAGGCGUUACCCGCAGAAGAAGCACCGGCUAACUCCGUGCCAGCAGCCGCGGUAAUUC